ensembl:lncRNA
AAAAUAAACUAAUCUGUACACAGACUACAGCAUCAGCUGCUCUAUCAAGUUCCACACUAAAAUGCCAACACUGAAAGUUUUCUGACAACGAGCUGAGUGUGAAGUUGUUUUUUUUUUAUUUUAAAACAGGAGGAAAGGACUAGAGUGCCUUUUAAGGGGAUAAACAAUUGCUCUCUAGUAGCCUCAUCCCUCUAUUAUUCAUAUUCAAAACAACAAUAACAAAAAAAAAAUAUUUCUAUAAACUCGCUAACUUAUCUACUUUGAUCUUGUUUAGUGGGUUGUGGCAUAAACAACCAGUCUGAUCUCAUUACUCAAAUCUCUGAGAGCCUGAUGCUCGGUCACAUCUGUCUGCACUCUAACAUCCGGUCAUUCAUUCAGCCAAAAUAUUAAAAAUUACAUUAGACUCUUUUUCCGCUUACCUUGAUUAGUUAUAGCACCGACCGCCCGUCUAAACUUUUUGUUAAUGUAACUGCAAUUCGCCUCAAAAAAGCAGCCUGAACGAACUGUUCUGGACGAAUCCAUACAACCUGAUGCGUGUAUUUACGGAAGUACGGUUCACAACGCUCCUUUGUAGUUUUUUGAGAUGUGACUUUCAAUGACGCCAAAGCGAUGUUUUGAAGCACAGAACUACAUUUCCCAACAGAACGCAUGUGCUUCGGACAGGGAUGGAUGUAUAAAAUGGUUAAUAAUUAAAUUUUAGAUUAUUUAAUUAUUUCUCUCUUUUACUAUGCCAUGCAAUAAACGUGUAAAUAUAUGUUGUUACAUAUUCAAAAGUAUAAUGGUACAAAAGUCAACGGGGCAGUUUUUUUCUACUAUCGGUGCACAAAGGACACUAGGUGGCAGCAAAGGCAUCGUUUCUUAGCGCCUGAAUGGACGACACAGCAGCGGCUAAAUGGACGAAAGCCUUUCUUCUAUUAAAACACCAGGCAGAAUGAAGACCUCCCACUUUCCAAGUCAGUCAUGAAGAUGGGGAUACAGCGGACCAAGCACAGGUCAAAUUAAAUAUCUUAUAUAAUUCCUUCUGAAUGACAGCGCCAUCUGUCCAUCCGAUGUUAUGGCCCUGACCCCUAUUAGCCUACACUCUCACCAUGCUGCCAUUUUCACCUUGAUAGGUUCGAGAUGGGAUUUAAAAUGCUUUUUUUGAUGCAACGGCUUGAACUUUGUCUAUAGCUGUGGCUUAUAUAUUCUUACGAGGCAAAAUUUAUGUAGUAGCAUUGUUUUUGUUAUAUGCAGUAUGAUAAAACUAAUAGUUCUAGCUCUAAAUUCUGACGGGAUGAGCUGCGUUUAGAGCUGAUAUGUGCAUUUGUGAUCAACCAGGAAUAUUAUAGUUAAGUAAAACUGAAAGCAAAUCGAUUAAAAAAUAAAUAAAUAAAUAAAUAAAUACA